UACGUAGGGUGCGAGCGUUGUCCGGAAUUAUUGGGCGUAAAGAGCUCGUAGGCGGUGUGUCACGUCGAUCGUGAAAACUUACAGCUUAACUGUGAGCGUGCGGUCGAUACGGGCAUCACUGGAGUUCGGCAGGGGAGACUGGAAUUCCUGGUGUAGCGGUGAAAUGCGCAGAUAUCAGGAGGAACACCGGUGGCGAAGGCGGGUCUCUGGGCAACUCCUGACGCUGAGGCGCGAAAGCGUGGGGAGCAAACGGG
rnacentral:rRNA from 1 species